CAGCAGCCGCGGGAAUACGUAGGUGGCAAGCGUUGUCCGGAAUUAUUGGGCGUAAAGGGCUCGCAGGCGGUUUCUUAAGUCUGAUGUGAAAGCCCCCGGCUCAACCGGGGAGGGACAUUGGAAACUGGGAAACUUGAGUGCAGAAGAGGAGAGUGGAAUUCCACGUGUAGCGGUGAAAUGCGUAGAGAUGUGGAGGAACACCAGUGGCGAAGGCGACUCUCUGGUCUGUAACUGACGCUGAGGAGCGAAAGCGUGGGGAGCGAACAGGAUUAGAUACCCCUGUAGUCCCUGUCUCUUAUAC
rnacentral:rRNA from 1 species